UAACAAGCUGUCAGAUAAUAACGAGUCUUAUGAAUAAAGUGGAGCAACGAGCUUCUUCUUCGCAGUUCCGCUUCGAUAAAUAGAGACGAAAAACGCGAGAACCUUAGAGUGAUUGUUUGUGUUUCAAAUUAAAACUUCUGCGCGGGUCGCAAAAAUACUGUGGAGAGAUUCUUACUGGAUCAAAAUGUGCAACAAGUUAAAUCACCGACAAUAUUCGAACUUCAUUCUCAAAUAUUGAAAAGGAAAUAACUGUCUACGCAUUCGGUUCUUUUGAACUAUCGCGACUCUAUCCGGGUUGCAAAAGCGACGGGUGAGGAAUUGCUGACGAUGAAAGGACGAGAAUCAACAAGGAAGAAUGGAAACGGAGAGAGAAAAGCCCCUGGGUUAAAAAAAAAAUAGAUAAAAAAUUUAUACGGCACACGGAAUAGUGAGAAAUGCGAAAAAGAAAAAAAGGUGAUGUUGCGAAAAAUACGAGAAAGGAUCACUAUCCUGUAGCGGACAAUACACGAAUAAUUAAUAAAGGAACUAGCAGAAAAUCGAUAGUGGAAAGUUGCAAGGAAAUUGAAAACAAUUUAGUACCAAGUAGAUUUAUGAAGUUCUUAAAUGAUUUAUUAUUUGGACAAUUAGUCGUAACGAGAUUCAAAAGAAAAACAGAACAUACCAUUUGUGUAUGAAGAAACUCUUACUUCUAUCCCUUCGUACACACCUAAUUUUUUGGCACUUUUUCUACAAACAAUUGGAUUGCAAUACUCCUGAUUUAAUUUUUAUUAUUUUCAGAAGUAUAAAAAAAUUCUUUAAUGAUUCUUAUAUACCUUACUACGUCUAGAUCUAGAAAUUAUUUUUGAUUGUUUAACCUGAAGCAGUCACUUCAACGUUAGAAAAAUGAAACUUAUAUUACAGCAAAUUUUUUUUAUUGAUCUAAGAUCUAUAUCUUUCAUUUGAAGAUUUUGAGACCCAAUUUAUACACAAUAGAAAUACGUUAUAACUCAUAUUUCCUUGAAGCCGAUCUAUUAAAAUUAGUUGGAUGUAGAAACCAUUCCACAUUAUCGUUUUUAUUAUUAAUUCAAUGUAGUAUAAUAAAAGUUUAUAUUAGAAAUUCGAAACAAUAACAUGAAUUUUAAAAAGAGAUUUUUGAGUUGAAACAGUAUUGUAAGCUAUUAAUCUUUACGUUUACACAACACAAAAUGUUUAUACUAUGUUCUAGCUUUUUAUAAGAUGUAUGCCAAGUUAA
rnacentral:lncRNA from 13 species